UACGGAGGGUGCAAGCGUUAUCCGGAUUCACUGGGUUUAAAGGGUGCGUAGGAGGGUAGGUAAGUCAGUGGUGAAAUCUUCGAGCUCAACUCGGAAACUGCCGUUGAUACUAUCUAUCUUGAAUACCGUGGAGGUGAGCGGAAUAUGUCAUGUAGCGGUGAAAUGCUUAGAUAUGACAUAGAACACCAAUUGCGAAGGCAGCUCGCUACACGAAUAUUGACUCUGAGGCACGAAAGCGUGGGGAUCAAACAGG
rnacentral:rRNA from 1 species